UACGAAGGGGGCUAGCGUUGCUCGGAAUCACUGGGCGUAAAGGGUGCGUAGGCGGGUCUUUAAGUCAGGGGUGAAAUCCUGGAGCUCAACUCCAGAACUGCCUUUGAUACUGAAGAUCUUGAGUUCGGGAGAGGUGAGUGGAACUGCGAGUGUAGAGGUGAAAUUCGUAGAUAUUCGCAAGAACACCAGUGGCGAAAGGCGGCUCACUGGCCCGAUACUGACGCUGAGGCACGAAAAGCGUGGGGGAGCAAACAGG
rnacentral:rRNA from 1 species